rnacentral:misc_RNA from 1 species
AACGCAUAUUGCGCUCUUUGGUAUUCCGAAGAGCAUGCUUGUUUGAGUAUCAGUAAACACCUCAAAGCCUUUUUUUUAUUAAAAAGAUUUUGGACUUGAGCAAUCCCAACAUUUUUUCUUAAAGUGGCGGGUUGCUUGAAAUGCAGGUGCAGCUGGACAUUCUCCUGAGCUAAAAGCAUAUUCAUUUAGUCCCGUCAAACGGAUUAUUACUUUUGCUGCAGCUAAUAUAAAGGGAGUUUGACCAUUUUGGCUGACUGAUGCAGGAAUUUCACAAGAGUCUUCAAACCACUCUUGUUAAACUCGAUCUCAAAUCAAGUAAGACUACCCGCUGAACUUAA